rnacentral:ncRNA from 2 species
AAUAAGUAUCAAGAGACAGUUUAAGUACUGGACCAACCGAGCAGACAUAGCCACGGUGGUAAAAACGAUACGAGUUUAACGAUUUAGAGCCAUAAUCAUU